rnacentral:tRNA from 1 species
GGCUUUAUAUUCAAUAUAUGAUAUUAGACUGCAAUUCUAAAGGAGUAAUAUUUUAUUACUAAGGCUU